CAGUCGCCGCGGGAACACGAAAGGGGCUAGCGUUGUUCGGAAUUACUGGGCGUAAAGGGCGCGUAGGCGGCCAUUCAAGUUAGAUGUGAAAGCCCUGGGCUCAACCUAGGAAUUGCCUUCAAUACUGGCGAUCUUGAGUAUGGAAGAGGUAUGUGGAACUCCGAGUGUAGAGGUGAAAUUCGUAGAUAUUCGGAAGAACACCAGUGGCGAAGGCGACAUACUGGUCCAUUACUGACGCUGAGGCUCGAAAGCGUGGGGAGCAAACAGGAUUAGAUACCUCAGUAGUCCCUGUCUCUUAUAA
rnacentral:rRNA from 1 species